rnacentral:lncRNA from 1 species
UAAUUUGCCUAUGUACUGAGUGUUGAGUCCUAAUAUUUCUUUGUGUCUCUAGGUCACAAUCCAUGAAAGAAUAAAUCUUCAACAUAAGUAAGGUUAGUAUCCUUGUAAAAAAAUUCAUUCAACAACACUACACAUUAAAAUUUAAAAACCAAAUCACCAAAAAACUUUUAUGAUGAUUAUUCUUGACAAAAAAUUGUAGCUCCAAAAUCGUAGCCAUCGUAUACACCUCCAAUUUUGGAUCAUAAUUAAGCAAAGGCAAAAAAGGAUGCAAGUGGCCAAAGUAA